ensembl:lncRNA
CUUUGAUAUUGAAUGGUUUGCCUUGGAAGUGAACAGAGAUCAUUCUGUUGCUUUUGAGACUGCACCCAAGUACUGCAUUUUGAACUCUUAUGUUGAUUGUGAGGACUACUCCAUUUCUUCUAAGGGAUUCUUGCCCACAGUAGUAGCAUUUCAGACACUCUAUGAAGGCCUCUGUUUACAUAGCUGCUGGAGUGGGGAAACUCAUUCGAGUGUAAACCAGAAGUGCUCUGAAGGACAGCUCUUUUACUUGUGAAUGAUGUGAGUACACGGAUGGAGUCUUCCUCCUUUAUACUCUACAGACAGUCCUAAAAUUUACUUCAUAAAGUUCUUCAAGAGGUCUAAUGUGAUGGAAUAACCAGUUGGAACAGCCAGUUCAGGGAGACAUCUUGAAUUGACUUUUCCCUUCUUCUCCACUCCCUCAUUUCUCAUUUCUACCUCCAGAACACAUUUUCCAGUAAAGCACUUCCACUUUGUAUCAGGUCUUGAUUCUUGAGGAAGUCAGUCUAAGGCACCCUAAUCUUAAAA